CGCGGGGUGGAGCAGUUGGCAGCUCGUCGGGCUCAUAACCCGAAGGUCACAGGUUCGAGUCCUGUUCCCGCAA
rnacentral:tRNA from 2 species